rnacentral:rRNA from 1 species
UACGUAGGGCGCAAGCGUUGUCCGGAAUUAUUGGGCGUAAAGAGCUCGUAGGCGGUCUGUCGCGUCUGCUGUGAAAUCCCGAGGCUCAACUCGGGCUUGCAGUGGGUACGGGCAGACUAGAGUGCGGUAGGGGAGAAUGGAAUUCCUGGUGUAGCGGUGAAUGCGCAAUCAGGAGGACACCGAUGGCGAAGGCAGUUCUUGGGCCGUAACUGACGCUGAGAGCGAAAGCGUGGGA